CGCUCCGCGCCCGCAGCCUGCGCUGCCGGUGACGUGUCCCAAGGAGGUGCCCGCCUGCCUGCGUGGGUACGCUGAGCUCUCCCAAAGCCUCCGCAGAAAUCCUGGCUGCGCUUCGCAGUCGCACAGUUUCUCAGAUGGCCCCGGCCCGUGGAGUUGCCUGUCGGAGAAGCGAUGCCCUCACCUACUGCAUGCUCGUAAAGGCCUCAAAAUGUGCUGUCAUCUCUGCUGAUCGCCGAGCUCGUACCAGCCCACCUUCAGCUUCCCCCUCUGCCUCCUCUGUGUACCCUUCCACGCUGAGCUGUGCUCUCUGUCACACGACUGACUCCUUUACUUGGCGAGAGGCUCAAUGUGACACCUGCAAUCUUUCAUUGCUUUGCUGAGGAUCAUCACAGAUUUUCGGAGUCCGCAGGAGACCUUCCUCACUUUGCUUCUACUUGCAUAAUUGUCAGAAAAUUCCCCACUUUUGCACCUACCAAGAAUAGCUUAUGAAUAUGAUUGUAUCUCCCAUAAAAUCCACUUUGUAAAACAUUUACUCACUCUACUGUACUCUUGAUUUCGGCAUAGGCAGGAAAAAGCCAAUGAAAGUGUUUCUCUCAUAGGUCUAAAAUAGCUUUUUGCGCUGCUGCCACAGCCCAUUUAUCUGGUUCUCCACGCUGCAGAUUUCGGCUGAAAUAAGCUUACCCACUGCUCAGCUGCACUUGGCCUUUGACUCAAAUGCUGAACGCCUGAAAUAUAAAGAACUUCUGCGAUAGGGAGCUCGGUGCUGAUCAAGAAGGUGAGGGGAGAGGACGCGCUCUGUGCGGUGCAGGUGGAGGGACAGGCAGCUCUGCCCAGUGCCCCCAGCACCGCACCUCGUGUUUCGGCAUCCCCGGUUCUAGCAGCGGCUCCACGGGCAAAAGGGAGAGAAGAACAGAAAGGGUUUCUUCUUCCAAGAGCUGCACGGAUUUCAGGCCAGCAUCUUCCCUUUUUCUUUUCUAAUGACCCUGAAACCUUUGGAAUAGUUAUUGGAAUGUAGCCCUCAUUUGUAAUUUCAGAAGCAACUUGCAUUAAAUAAUCUGCCCUGCCUUCAUCCCUCACUUGAUAGGCUUGCUAUGCCCCACUUGACUGUUUGGUUAUGCACAAUGAACCAUCUGGGCCAAAGAAAACAUCUCUUACAAAAGAAUCUGUGCUUUAUACAAAUAUCCAGAUUGUAGAUGGGUUGUGAUUUUUCUUUGUGUGUGAAGUUGUUAUGAUAUGCAGUGCUCGCUGCAUUGUGUUGCUAACAAAGACCGAUGCAGCAGGCAAUUGUUGUGCUCAGGCUGCAAACAGUUGCAGCUCUGAUGGUGUCCUCCAUUCACAGCUUUCAACUCUGCAAAGAAGAAACUCCAAGGUACUUGUUGAGAUUAAAGGGAUGAUUAAAAAGUAAGAAUAAAAACCAGAUUCAGCGGAAUCUAUUAAAAGGAGAUUUAUUUGUAAUUACAGAUGGCACAAAAUGAGGUCCCAAUCUGCUGUGCUGCAAAGUGGGAGAGUCCAGUUAAGCAGCAGAUCUGGGCUCUGGCCUGCAGUAAAAAACACGACUCAGAGUGCAAACCCCAAGGACUUUAGUAAGGGGAAAUGGAACAUUAUAGCAGAUGGAGGGGAAAGGAAAUAAUCCGAACAGCUAUACAGUCCCCUGCAGCUCAGCCCUGUGAACCGGCCGCUUGCGUGUCCAGCGCCAGCCUUGUGCCUGGUACUCCUCUGUGUGUGGACUGCUGAGGCUGUGGAGUCUCUCCCUGAGGCCAAGGCACUCGUGUCCAGCCCAGACUUUCACAGAGGACGUAGAAUGACUGUCUAUUUUUCGGAGAAAAAUGGUUUCUUCAGCUACGAUUUUCACCAUCUAUAAUUAAAUGAAGAAGAGCUUUUUAAUUCUACUUUUGGCAUUUUUUUUGGCAUAUCCCCUUUUGCGAAGAGCCCAAGCCCCUGUACUGUCCCACAGCAUGGAGAGGGAGUGCUGGAGGCCUUUGCUUGCGAUUAACAGAUGUAUCCUGCAUAAUGAGUACGUUGAAAUGAGCUUCCAGGUGCUCCAUUGCCAAGCUGCAGAGCUCCCACUGGUGCGAGCAGAUACACCUGGGUGCAGGUGCGUGUACAUCACCUCUGCUCUGGGUCUCAACAUGUGAGAGUUUCAUCAUUUCUAAUUCCAAUUGUGCUUAUUACCUAAUCCCCAAAGCCGCCUCUUCCGGUACGAGAAAUGUUAGUUGGAAGCAGCAUGCGCAGGGGUUUUCCUGCUCACUCACUCAGCCUGACUUUGAGUGAUUGAUGUCAAGGGAAAUUUUUCAAUCAACUUAAGCAGGAGCAGGUGAGCUGUGGCUUUAAUCACUGUGCCGUGACCUCUCAGUUUUGCCACCUCGGUAUCUACAGCAGGAGAGCCAAAAAAUGGUUGUUUGUGAAAUGCUCUGAGAAACAUGGGCCCCAGCCACUGUACAGUGAACCACAAGGAUUUGUGCAAUAAAAUAAUUAAGGAGCU